rfam:Haemonchus placei strain MHpl1 genome assembly, scaffold: HPLM_scaffold0002355
GUUGCACGGCUAGUGACGAUCACUGUCUUAGGAAGUGCCGUCUUAAAAUCAAUGAUUAACAUUAGGACGCUGAAGCCA